rnacentral:rRNA from 1 species
CCUACGGGAGGCAGCAGUCGAGAAUCAUUCACAAUGGGGGAAACCCUGAUGGUGCGACGCCGCGUGGGGGAAUGAAGGUCUUCGGAUUGUAAACCCCUGUCAUGUGGGAGCAAAUUAAAAAGAUAGUACCACAAGAGGAAGAGACGGCUAACUCUGUGCCAGCAGCCGCGGUAAUACAGAGGUCUCAAGCGUUGUUCGGAAUCACUGGGCGUAAAGCGUGCGUAGGCUGUUUCGUAAGUCGUGUGUGAAAGGUGCGGGCUCAACCCGCGGACGGCACAUGAUACUGCGAGACUAGAGUAAUGAUGGGGGAACCGGAAUUAUCGGUGUAGCAGUGAAAUGCGUAGAUAUCGAGAGGAACACUCGUGGCGAAGGCGGGUUCCUGGACAUUAACUGACGCUGAGGCACGAAGGCCAGGGGAGCGAAAGGGAUUAGAUACCCGGGUAGUC